AUGGCCGAGUGGUCUAAGGCGCCAGACUCAAGUUCUGGUCCUCUUACGAGGGCUUGGGUUCAAACCCCACUUCUGACAAUUCUUUUGUCACCUUUGGCUAUCCAUUUUUGCAACAAGAUCAGCUCCUCUCGCUUUGCUCUGCGAGCCUUUUUUUUUUUGAACCGGGCUGACCCUCAUUUUUUGAACCGGGCCUUUUUUAUACAUUGUUUUCGCACUGUCAUACUAGCUAGGGAUCAACCAAUCUGA
rnacentral:rRNA from 1 species